rnacentral:rRNA from 1 species
CGCGGUUAUACUAAUAGUAUAAUUUUAAUAUUGUCGGUUAGGUAUUAAAUAUACAGUUAAAUUUAUUUUAUAAGUUAAUAUAUUAAGUGAAAUUUUAUAUUAAUUAAACAUAAUGGUUUAUUAAAUAUUAAAUAAUAAUUAAACUAGGAUUAGAUACCCUAUUAUAAAUAUUUGUGAAUUUUUUAACCAUAAUAGUAAUAGUUAUGUUCUAGAAAAUAAAAGAAAUUGGCGGUAAUCGUUAAUUGUUUAGAGGAACCUGUUCUUUAAUCGAUAAACCACGAGUAAUUUUACCUAAUUUUUUCUUAUAUACCUCUAUCAUUGAAUGUUUUCUAAGAAUUAUUUUCUCUAAUUAUUUAAUUAGUUUAUACAAAAUGUUAGGUCAAGGUUUAGUUUAAUUAGGCAGAAAUGGGUUACAAUAAUUUUAAUUAUGGAUUUAAUAAUUUGUAUUUUUAAUGAAAUUGGAUUUAAUUGUAAUUUUAAUUAUAUAAUUAAAUUGAAAUUAUUAUGAUUAUGUACAUAUCGCCCGUCAUUCUCAUAUAUUGGGACAAGUCGUAACAAAGUAGGAUAACUGGAAAGUUAUCCUGGAUAGUUU